GUCCCAUUUUCAAAACUUUUUGUUUUUCUCAGAAUCACAGAACAACUUAUGGUCGUUGACUGUUUAGCUAUUCCUCAAUUUAUUCAUUUCUAUUUUUCUUUACAAGCAUUUGAGAAUUCUGCGAAUAUCUUGGUUAUAAAACUAUUAUGCAUGUAAUGGUGCAGGACUGUCUUCAAUUGUUGAACAACCUUCUCCGAACUAAUGCAUCUAAUCAGAUACUACUGAGAGAGACUAUGGGAUUUGACCCCGUAAUAUCAAUUCUGAAGCUACGGGGAAGUACUUACAGUUUCACCCAACAAAAGUAGACAAUUAAUCUACUCAGUGCAUUAGAAACCAUUAAUUUGUUAAUGAUGGGAGGUACAGAGG